GCAGGGUGGCCACCUAGUAAUCAGCACAAGUUAGAAUGUGGGCAACUCGGCAGUCGUUGCACAGGCACUUUGGUGACUCUAGAUAACCUCAGGCCGAUCCCACGUCCCCGUGACGGCGACAACGCAUUUGGAUGUCUGCCCUAUCAACUUUUGAUGGUACUUUCUGCGCCUACCAUGGUGACCACGGGUAAUGGGGAAUCAGGGUUUGAUUCCGGAGAGGGAGCCUGAGAAAUGGCUAUCACAUCCAAGGAAGGCAGCAGGCGCGCAAAUUACCCACUUCCCGAUGCGGGAGGUAGUGAC